rnacentral:misc_RNA from 1 species
AACGGUCUAUACCUGCGGUACCUGCGGAAGGAUCAUUAAAAAAACUUUGCCCGCGGACCUUGGGUCCAAGGCGCAAAACCCACACUAUGUGCACUGUUAUCGUUCUUUUGGCAGGGGCUUGGGGUAUCUUCCAACUUGGGGAACCUCAACUUCUCGUCUAGCUCUAUCCACCUCGGACAGCUGGACAUGAGAAGUAGUUACUCUGCCAAGUGACCCUUAAAAACACGCUUUUUUGUCUGA